CAACAACUUCCGCCGAACUCUGAACUCGAACGCUAUUGGUCAACAGAGACGCGCUGAUGCAGAUGCAGCGGAAACAGUCAGACUGCAUAGCAGGUGGACUCACCUGUUUGGAAGAAUCCAUGUGAACUUGCAGGCCUCUGGAGAACUGUGACUGUUUGGAGCAGAGACACGUAAAAUGGCAGGACAGGAGCUGGACAUCCAUGGCUUUUUACAUUUGUGCAGAGGACAAAUGACUUGAAAAUUUUCCAGCAGAAACAUCUCCACAUGGAGGGACGGCAUCCUCGAUGGUUCCAAUUUCCAGCCCAUUCCCCAAUUUUCAACCCCAAUGACAGACAACACACACUGGAACGGCUGUUCAGCCGGGGAAGGGACUCGUUUCACUUCCUGCGCUACCCAAAAGAAGGGACACAGACCGGCGAUGCAGAGCCUGCUCAGACAGAGGGGGGAAAGGAGAGACGGGAGAUAGAGGAAGAAAUACGAAACAAGAUGCAACCUGAUGGGGCUGCAGAAAAGCAAACAAAAUAGACGACAAGGAAGAAGAAAAAAAAACAAAACAAAAUAGUGGUUGAAAUCUCCAGCUUGAUCUAAGGUGCAGAGACGUGAAGGCACACAGGUCCUUUAUCCAGCUAAUAUAAGACGCAACAUGUGGUUUCACAAAGGAAAUGAAAGGAUUUCUGACCUGAAUUUCUUGUACCGGCUGAGUUGUUCUCAGGUAAACUGCGGCACAACGGACUGAACUCAAGUCACAAAUGCAAUAACACAUAACUCAAUCACUGCAGCGAUGUUAUCAAAAGACACAAUUUGGCAAUGCUGGUUUCCCCUAAAUCAAAUCAAACUGCAGGACUGAACAACUGAAUUAACAAUUGCCAAGAUGCACCUGAAUUCACACGAAGUGUUCUUUGUUUUCUUUUUUUUUUAAUCAGUUGUGCUGUAACUGUGCUUCCCUGGAAAUUGUCCACACUUUUUUUUUUUUUUUUUUGUUAAACAUCCAGAGUCAGGGAUUUAUAUACUGUUGUGACAAGAGGUUUAAAACUAAUGAUGUGCCAAGAAACCAUCUGGUGACCUGGUUCAUUCUGAGAAGCCAUGUCAGGUGUGCAGCUGGUUGGAAACUUUCAGUGAACACAACACACCGAAGUACCAACAGGAGGCACAAACGACAACAAUCUUUACUGUGGGCGUUGCCACUGAAAGAAGACUGAAAGUUCAGAAGACGCGUCAGCUGGUAAUUUCGGUGGCAUAUAAUGAUGCUUUCACAGAUAACAGGAAGGUUUAACAGAGAAAAAGUAAGUUUCUAUAUCUUUUUGAGCUUUUAACUUGUCUAACAAUCCUAAGCUUAUGGUAAGGAUCUGCGUUCUUUUGGGAAUACACUCAGAAAUGGUGGUGUUAAUGCUAACAUGUUAGCAUGGUAACAUAUUAGCAUGUUAGCAUGGUAGCAAAGAAAACAUAGGAUUUAAUGACUGAUUGGAAUGGCAACUGUGUCUAAUGAUGCACAGUCUUACCAUGUCUUAGACUGCUUUUUCAGAUGUGCUAUGUCUUAGUGAAUGUUUACUGACUUCUGCAUCUAUAAAUCUUAUAUAAAAAAUGUAGAUUUGUUGACGCGAUGUAGACAUUGUCAGUUCCUCAGAAGUUUCAAGUUGAGCUCUGCUACAACCCGUUUUGCCGAAAGGCUUCGCUUUAGCUUGAUACCACUCCUCUGUUCUCUGCUAUACCUUUUUCCAUAUUUUCCCAAAUGGUAUUUUUUUUUUUUUUUUUUUUGACAUGUUACUCUCUCUUUGCUAUUAAUGCUUAGCUUUAGGUCUACAGUACGGUGCUGGUAAUCUACAAAAAGUGUUCCCAGUGGGAUAUUCAUUUAUUUACUUUUCAGUGUUUAGUUGAGUAUUUGGUUCUGUGUUUAGAUGCAAUACUUUCGAUAGCUGACAAUUGCAUUACGUGCCCAACAACAGAAGGAUUUGUUUGCUUUUUCUAGAUAAGUCCCUCAAUAUAUUUUACCACAGCUUCC